GCUGGAUCCACUUGCUUCUAUUGCAAGACGGAUGGGCACUGGAAGAGGAACUGCAGCAAGUUUUUGGCUGACAAAGCCAAGAGUGGAAGUGGGACUUCUAACUCAGGGGCUGGUAAGAACUAGGAGCGUGGCAAGAGGCGAGGUUGAUAUUCGAGUCGGCAACAAAGCGAGAGUCGCUGCGUUGGAAGUCGGCACGAUGCAACUUCAUUUACCUUCAGGAUUCUUAAUGGAGCUGAAUAAUUGUUAUUAUGUUCCGGUGCUUAGUCGAAACAUUAUUUCUGCCUCAUGUUUAAUGAGACAAGGUUAUGAGUCGAAUAUUAAGAAUAAUGGUUGUUCUUUAUAUUUGAAAGAUAUGUUUCACGGC